AUAAAAGACGAUGCAGUCCAGAUAAAAACAUUGUAUGGCUCAAUAAUCUUUACCAAACUUGAUGCAUCAGAUGAAGUCUUUGACUAUCUAGAAAGGGAUUUUGUAAGCUAGUACUGGACAUGAAGACAGUCACUUGGAAAUGAUGAUUGUGCAACAGCGGUUAAACAUAUGCAAUACAUCAUAUGGUGACCAGACAGGGAGGAAACUAGGGAAAUGGUUAUCCACCAACAACCCAAGUGCUU